GUGCGUAGGAUGGAGACAGGUGUGGAAUGGCACUGAGAAAGGUAGAUCCAAAAUAAAGAAGGAAAGAGGGAUUUGUGUGGCAUUUGCACAGAAAGAAAAGUUUUUUUUUUAAAGAAGAAAAGACACGGACUUAUGGAAGUGGACGCAUGAAAAGCCCUUCACGCGGCUCAUUGGAAAAAGAUGUGGUCCAUAAGCAAUGUGGUCUAUGGUGGACCACGUG
rnacentral:lncRNA from 1 species